rnacentral:rRNA from 1 species
GACGAACGCUGGCGGCGUGCUUAACACAUGCAAGUCGAACGCUGAAGGCCUGGCUUUUGUUGGGUUGGAUGAGUGGCGAACGGGUGAGUAACACGUGAGUAACCUGCCCUCUUCUUUGGGAUAACGCCCGGAAACGGGUGCUAAUACUGGAUAUUCACUGAUCUUCGCAUGGGGGUUGGUGGAAAGGUUUGUUCUGGUGGGGGAUGGGCUCGCGGCCUAUCAGCUUGUUGGUGGGGUGAUGGCCUACCAAGGCUUUGACGGGUAGCCGGCCUGAGAGGGUGCCCGGUCACAUUGGGACUGGGAUCCGGCCCAGACUCCUACGGGAGGCAGCAGUGGGGAAUAUAGCACAAUGGGCGAAAGCCUGAUGCCGCGACGCCGCGUGAGGGAUGGAGGCCUUCGGGUUGUAACCCUCUUUCGCUCAUGGGCAGGCCGCAACUGUGGGUUGUGGUGAGGGUAGUGGGUAAAGAAGCGCCGGCUAACUACGUG